UCUGAAGCCCUAGCCGACCUUCUCUCUGAAGCCCUAGCCGACCCUCUAAAAUUCUAGCCGAUCUGAGUUGGAGAUGGAUGUACUGAUCUUGGAUCUGAGCUCUCGAAGGCUAAAGAUCUCCAUUUUGAUCUCAUAUACUCUCCUUCCGACGAUCAGAUGAAGAUGAGUAUUACUUUUUUAUUAUUAUUAUUAUUUUUUUUUAC
rnacentral:lncRNA from 1 species